GUCCCAUGUGGCUCAGUUGGUAGAGCAUGGCGCUUGCGACGUCAUGAUUGUGGGCUCGAUUCCCACGGGGGACA